GUCUACGGCCAUGCCAUCCUGAACAAGCCCAAUCCCGUCUGAUCUCGGAAGCUAAGCAGGGUUGGGCCUGGUUAGUACUUGGAUGGGAGACCACCUAGGAAGACCAGGUGCUGUGUAGG
rnacentral:rRNA from 1 species